rnacentral:lncRNA from 1 species
GCCGCGCCGCAAAGCAAAGGUCGUGCGUUGCCGGCUUGGUAGCGCCUUCCUUCUCCGACUUCCCAGACUUCCCAGUCUGCGCAGGCUUACUUGGGGACGCAGGGAACUACCAAGAAAGUGUCAGAGGAAAGGAAAGGUGAAACAGACGAGGAACUGGAACGGGAAUAAGUGGGAAAGAAGCCAAGGGGUUUGAGAGAGACUUGCUGCCCUGGGUUUUUGGUUUUUGUUUUUUGAGACAAGAGUCUGGCUCUGUCGCCCAGGCUGCAGUGCAGGGGCGCGAUUUCAGCUCAUUGCCGCCUCAACCUCCUGGGCUUAAGCGAGUCUCUUGUCUCAGCCCCCGACGUAGCUGGGACUACAGGCACACACCGCCAUACCUGGCUAAUUUUUGUAUGUUUUGUAGCGACAGAUUUUUGCCAUGUUGCCCAGGCUGGUCUCCAACUCUCAAGCUCAAAUAAUCCAACUGUUUGGGCCUCCCACAGUGCUGAGGUUACAGGCCUCAGCCAACGCGCCUGGCCCUGCUCUGGUUUUUUUAGGGAGUAAGUUGUUGCGGAAGGACGCAGGUCUUAGCCAUAUUUUUGAAUAAUACUUCGUUAUGGGAAUGAAACCGCCUUUGCAAAAUUAUGACUGAUUUGGGAGGCCGAGGCGGGAUCACUUGCAGUCAGGAGUUCAAGACCAGCCUGGCCAACGUGGUGAAACCUCGUCUCUACUAAAAAUACAAAAAUUAGCUGGGCAUGGUGGUAAACGCGCCUGUAGUCCCAGCUGCUCAGGAGGAUGAAGCAGGAGAAUCGCUUGAACCCGGGAGGUGGAGGUUGCAGUGAGCCAACGUCGCACCACUGCACUCCACCCUGGGCGACAAGAGUGAAACUACGUAUCAAAAAAAAAAAGAAAAAACCUCUGCUCCCUGAAUGCUCAGGGAGACUGAUUUGAGUAAUAAUAGAACUCCGGUCUCACACAGCUGGCUCUGCAUGAAUUACUCUUUCUCUAUUGCAAUUCCCCUGUCUUGAUGAAUCAGCUCUGUCUAGGAAGCGGGAAAGGUGAACCCCUUGGGCGGUUACAGCAAGAGGAGAUAGUCCAGAGACUCAGCCCUCGUAUCUUGAAGGGUUUCUUGGUUUUUUGUUUUUGUUUUCUUAACCAAGUUGUCUGCUCCAAUUGCUGGAUUUCAUUCACAAGGCUUUGCUAGGACCAGUUGUGGCCCUUGGAAACUCGUGGAGGAGAAAAGCUGUGAAAAUAGGCACACAUGCUGGAGGAGGAACAGAGGGCAACACACAUAAUACUGGAUAAUAAACUUGAGAGGCAAAAAUUAAACAAACCGACAAACAAAGUUGGAAACCCAGACUGUCCAAAGCAGCUUGUAAUCAGGCUUACUUCAUUUAUAUUAGCUUAUUGAUGUGGCAACUAUUUGACUUUUACUUACAUGAUCCGCUGUUUCUGUGGUGUGGUUCCAAUACACCGACGUUACAAAACUUUGACCAUCUUAAAAGCCAGAUUAAUCGAAUUUUAACAACCAUUGUUCUGAAAACUGCAGAACUCUCGACAGGUAUUGACUGUUCAAACUACACUGUCAACCUAGACGCUGAGGCACGAGAUAGAACUUAAAGCAUUUACUUUAGCCAAAGUGAGGACAGCUGCCCAGAAGACCCAGACCCAAGUAACCUUAAAUGUGAACUCCUGUCCACCUUUGUUACAAUCAGGUUUUUAAAGGCAAAAAGGGGACAGGGAGUUGACUGAUACAAAGUUGUAAAGAAUUACUGGUUUGUAGAAAUAGUAUUGGUUAGUGGUUGGCUAUACGUUAAGCUAUAGGGUGCGAGUUACAGUGUCCAGUGUACCAUUAUUAGGUUAAUUUUUAGCUACUUGUGGCUAUAGUAAGCAGUUUAAAGAGAUGAAUGCAUAACAAAGUGGGGAGUAGGAUGUAAUUGCUGUCUCAUUUUAAUGUCUCUCUGGGCCUGGUAAUUUAAAAGGAUUUACCUUCCUCAUAUAAAAGUUCUUUUCUCGGCACUGAGAGAUUUGAUUAUACUCUAGCAUAGCUUCCAGUAGCUUAAGGCCUUGUCCCUAGGCUGACCCCAGAUCCCGUUAAAAUGCUUCCCUGAAAUCAAAACUCAAUGCCUGGAGAAUUUACUGUUUGUUCCAGCCAAAACUUGAUGAUAGGCAGAUAGGUCCCUGAACCCCUUCUUAGAGCAGUCACUUUAGAAAGCUUGUUUCUCUACCCUUGGUGAUGUAAGUCUACCACCCAACACAGUUUCCUCAAAGACUUGGGAGCCAUCUCUUUGAAAUGCAAAUAUUCAGAAAGAUAACUCACCCUAGCUCCUA